rnacentral:rRNA from 1 species
GACGAACGCUGGCGGCGUGCUUAACACAUGCAAGUCGAACGGAAAGGCCCUGCUUUUGUGGGGUGCUCGAGUGGCGAACGGGUGAGUAACACGUGAGUAACCUGCCCUUGACUUUGGGAUAACUUCAGGAAACUGGGGCUAAUACCGGAUAGGAGCUCCUGCUGCAUGGUGGGGGUUGGAAAGUUUCGGCGGUUGGGGAUGGACUCGCGGCUUAUCAGCUUGUUGGUGGGGUAGUGGCUUACCAAGGCUUUGACGGGUAGCCGGCCUGAGAGGGUUACCGGCCACAUUGGGACUGAGAGACGGCCCAGACUCCUACGGGAGGCAGCAGUGGGGAAUAUUGCACAAUGGGCGGAAGCCUGAUGCAGCAACGCCGGGUGCGGGAUGACGGCCUUCGGGUUGUAAACCGCUUUCGCCUGUGACGAAGCGUGAGUGACGGUAAUGGGUAAAGAAGCACCGGCUAACUACGUG